GAACGCUAGCGACAGGCCUAACACAUGCAAGUCGAGGGGCAGCACAAGGAGCAAUCUGAGGUGGCGACCGGCGCACGGGUGAGUAACACGUAUGCAACCUGCCUGUAAGCGGGGAAUAACCCGUUGAAAGACGGACUAAUACCGCAUAAUACUAAAUUACUGCAUGGUAAUUUAUUUAAACAUUUAUGGCUUACAGAUGGGCAUGCGCAUGAUUAGCUAGUUGGAGAGGUAACGGCUCCCCAAGGCAACGAUCAUUAGGGGUUCUGAGAGGAAGGUCCCCCACACUGGUACUGAGACACGGACCAGACUCCUACGGGAGGCAGCAGUGAGGAAUAUUGGUCAAUGGACGAGAGUCUGAACCAGCCAAGUCGCGUGCAGGAAGAAUGUCCUUAAUGGAUUGUGAACUGCUUUUGCAGGGGAAUAAAGUGCAUCACGUGUGAUGUUUUGUAUGUACUCUGCGAAUAAGGAUCGGCUAACUCCGUGCCAGCCGCCGC
rnacentral:rRNA from 1 species